rnacentral:rRNA from 1 species
UACGGAGGGUGCAAGCGUUAUCCGGAUUUACUGGGUUUAAAGGGUGCGUAGGUGGGCAGGUAAGUCAGUGGUGAAAUCUCCGGGCUUAACUCGGAAACUGCCGUUGAUACUAUCUGUCUUGAAUACCGUGGAGAUGAGCGGAAUAUGUCAUGUAGCGGUGAAAUGCUUAGAUAUGACGCAGAACACCAAAUUGCGAAGGCAGCUUGCUACACUACUAU